rnacentral:rRNA from 1 species
UACGAGGGGGGCGAGCGUUGUUCGGAAUUAUUGGGCGUAAAGGGUGCGUAGGCGGUUGGCAAAGUUGGUUGUGAAAUCUCAGGGCUCAACCCUGAAAUUGCGACCAAUACUGGUCGACUAGAGUGCAGGAGAGGAAGGUGGAAUUCCCGGUGUAGUAGUGAAAUGCGUAGAUAUCGGGAGGAACACCAGUGGCGAAGGCGGCCUUCUGGCCUGCAACUGACGCUGUAGCUCGAAAGCGUGGGGAGCGAACCGG